rnacentral:tRNA from 1 species
GCUCCGAGGUGUUUAACAUAUUAGAUUGCAAAUCUGAAGAGGCAGGCUAUUACCUGCCGGAGCUU